CAGCCCCGCAACGGGAAUCUGAAAACUAGGAUUCUCGUCCCAGCUCCACUGCUGCCUGCAGGGAGACCUCAGGCAGCAUGAGUCACUGUGGAGAGGUAAGAGCGUGCUAGAGGUGGACAGAUCCAACUUCAAGUCCAAGUAUGGCUUCUUACUUGCACGCCACUGGCCGAAGUGCUUUCUCCCUGGGCCUCAGUUUCCGUGUCUGCAUCUGCAACAAAGCUACAGAUUCCUGCCUGAGGGGCGUUGGGGGGUGGGCGGGACGUGCUAAAUGCACAAGCUGCUCUCAUAUCACACCGUAGAAUAUUUCUCGUGUUGCUCAAGAGCUCAGUAAACGUCAGCCGUUUAUGAGGAUGUCAUCAUAGCCAUCAUGUCCUCCCCAGCAGACCCUGUGGGAUUCUGAGCAAGCGACCUCACCUCUCUGGGCCUCAUUGUCCUUACCUGUAAAAUGAGGAGACUACGUGCACAGGCCUCAGUGGGUCCCGAGAAAUAGAAGACAUCGAGGCCCACCUGAGCAUACAGCUGAGAGUUGAGAAAAGGUUGGUUGUGGUGGUGAAGGGUGUAGAGCCCUGACUUCAAGCCUAGCCUCACUUCCUAGAGCCAUGUGACCUUGAGAAAGCCAUUUCUCCCAGCUGCGCUGGUUUUUCACUGGAAUUUACAGAUGACAGCGAUGUUCAUAGUACCACCUUCAUGGCCGGGUGGAAGAAUUAAAUAAGCCAUUGCAGAGAGUGUGCAUGUGGCCUCUGUUGGAAAUGUCUGAUUCUGUGGAGUGGGAGAGAACACAAGGAACAUCCCCAAGGCCUCAGAUGUCCUCAGCUUGCCUGUCCCCUGCCUCUGCUUGGGCUCAAGCAUAGCCUUCCAUGAGGGACUCCGGGAGAAGGAGGAUAGCACGCCCAAUCGGGCUUGCAAAGGAACACGCCCGGCCGGCAGCCACCCCCUGGGUGAGACCCCGUAGUGCCUACCGGCAGGAUGAAGGCUGUGAGUGGGGGCAGCCGGCUGGAGUACUUGUCGAUCCACUGCUCCAGCUCCAGGACGCACCCUGCCUCGAAUGUGGCGUGUCCUGAGGGGUGAAGCAGAAAGACACGGCCAUAACAUCCACGGCCUGCCAGACCAAGGAAACCACCCCUGCGUCCCUUCUGCCCAGGACAGCUGGGCCAAGACACCAAACAUGACAGUGCUUUCUAAACCACAAAGGACGAGCAUCUGGGAGAACGUGGUCAGCCCCUGCAUGACAACGAGCCACAGGCACCCGUGCCAAGGACACCUGCAACACCAUCUUGGACCCCGUGCCUAGCCAGAGUCCACUCAAGCUGCAUGGGGGGCUGUCGGGUGGGUGGAGGCCUGCGGCCUCUGUGAACACAGUCACAGUGACAGCUUGCCAGGAGCAGGACAUGACAGAGGAGAGCAGAGGCCGCCCACCCAGCAGUGGACCGGAACCCUCCUUGGGCUGCCACCUGGGUGAGUUACUUGAGUGAGUCUGGUGUCUCUGGGGCUUCCAGGGGGAGGCACGGUAACGAUAUUACCCCAGGGCUUGGCCUCCUACAGCGUCUGCCCCUAGGACUGGAGGGAGCUGGCACUGGUUUGGGACUAGGACCCCAGCUCUAGUUGAUUCCCAACCGGCAUCCCCAUGCAACAUGGACAAUGACCUCCAGCUCAAGUGCUUUUGUGAGGAGGGCAAGGCCCAGGCAGUGCUCCUGGGUAAAAAGUCACAGGCUGCACCCUCAGGGGGCCCUGGCCAGUGAGGAGACAGGUGGAUCAUACCACCUCACCACCUUGGUGGUGCCCGCGAGGGGCCAGGUGGGUAGCCCAGGCCCCAGAGGAAGUGAUGUUGAUGCUGUGAUCCAGAGGACAAGGGCCUCAAGCACAGGUCAGCUCAUCAUGUCACUGGCCCACCUUCCCAGACUUUUCCCUCUGCAAAUUCUGCUCAGAGAUAAGCACAUCUAGAAAUGACCACAGGGGAUAUGGGGAUAUGACCAUUUCUCCAUUGUGAGGCUACAGACUAUCCUCCAGUGCACAGAGGGGCCUUGUUCAUAGAAUGUUCCAGCAACUGAAGUCUCCCAUCCUUCUGCAGCCCCCUCACUACCCUCCGUCUGUUCCCAGGAGCCUAAGUGGGCUCUGGCCUGGCCUGGAGGACUACAGUGGGCUUAGGGCUGACCCGCAAGGAGCAGUUUCUAGUCUCGGCUCACCCUGUAGACUGUAACCUUGUCUUGCAUGUUCGGGGUGGGGGGUGUGUCCCUCCCACUGCCGAAGGCGUGUCUGGGGGCCAGGGCCUCUAUGCUUCCUAAGUUGGACAACACAAAUACUAACAGCCACAAAGUCCGAAGGUGGAGAGCUUACUGGCCUUCCUGGCUUUCUCCAGCCCAGAGGCUGCUGAUGUCCAGGCCCGGAGCACUCUCUGGUGUGGGGGUGUCCCAUGAACUGUGGGAUGUUACCUGCGUCCCUGGUCUCUGCCGCCUGGAUGACAGGAGCGCCCCCCCCUCCACUUGUAACCACCGAAAAUAACAAUAGAUGUUGCUGAGUGUCCUCUGGGAUGGGGCAGAAUUGCCCUGGGUCAAGUCCACUGCACGUGACACUUGCCCCCGGGUACUAGCCUCACCACCUGCCUGGGAGGGAGGAUGGUGUGUGUCCCUGUUUAGCAGGUGGAGAAACUAAGGCUCCCAGAGAAAGAGCGAUUAGCCCCAGGUGGCAGAGAGAGGAAGAGAUGGUCACAUGGCAAGUGCGGUCACGGCCGCCUGGCCGCACGGAUAAUAGUCCAGUGUGGGGUGAGACGGUAUUACUUACUUUCUGA